GCACAACGCGAAGAACCUUACCUAGGCUUGACAUGCAUCUCUAAGCACGUGAAAGCGUGUGACCCUUCGGGGAAUUUGCACAGGUGCUGCAUGGCCGUCGUCAGCUCGUGUCGUGAGAUGUUGGGUUAAGUCCCGCAACGAGCGCAACCCUUGUGACUAGUUGCCAGCACGUUAUGGUGGGAACUCUAGUCAGACUGCCCAGAUCAACUGGGAGGAAGGUGGGGACGACGUCAGGUCAGUAUGGCCCUUACGCCUAGGGCUGCACACGUACUACAAUGCCCAGCACAAUGAGAACCGAGACCGCGAGGUGGAGGAAAUCUAAAAAACUGGGCCCAGUUCGGAUUGGAGGCUGCAACUCGCCUCCAUGAAGUUGGAAUCGCUAGUAAUGGCGCAUCAUCUACGGCGCCGUGAAUACGUUCCCGGGUCUUGUACACACCG
rnacentral:rRNA from 1 species